CCCUUAGAUGUUCUGGGCCGCACACGCGCUGCACUGAAGGAGGCAGCGUGUACUCCUGGAUCGAAAGAUUUGGGUAACCCGCGAAUCUCCUUCGUGCUAGGGAUUGAGGUUUGCAAUUAUCCUUCAUGAACGAGGAAUUCCCAGUAAGUGCAAGUCAUAAGCUUGCGCUGACUACGUCCCUGCCCUUUGUACACACCGCCCGUCGCUACUACCGAUUGAAUGAUUUAGUGAGGACUUCGGACUGGGACCGAUGCGGCUUUCGGGCUGCGUCGGUAUUCUGGAAAGAUGUCCAAACUGUAUCAUUUAGAGGAAGUAAAAGUCGUANCA
rnacentral:rRNA from 1 species